GGAUAGAUGGCCGAGUGGUCGAAGGCGGCGGUCUUGAAAACCGCAGAACGCAAGUUCCGGGGGUUCGAAUCCCUCUCUAUCCG
rnacentral:tRNA from 1 species